AGAGUUUGAUCCUGGCUCAGGAUGAACGCUGGCGGCGUGCCUAAUACAUGCAAGUCGAGCGAACGGACGAGAAGCUUGCUUUUCUGAUGUUAGCGGCGGACGGGUGAGUAACACGUGGAUAACCUACCUAUAAGACUGGGAUAACUUCGGGAAACCGGAGCUAAUACCGGAUAAUAUUUUGAACCGCAUGGUUCAAAAGUGAAAGACGGUCUUGCUGUCACUUAUAGAUGGAUCCGCGCUGCAUUAGCUAGUUGGCAAGGUAACGGCUUACCAAGGCAACGAUGCAUAGCCGACCUGAGAGGGUGAUCGGCCACACUGGAACUGAGACACGGUCCAGACUCCUACGGGAGGCAGCAGUAGGGAAUCUUCCGCAAUGGGCGAAAGCCUGACGGAGCAACGCCGCGUGAGUGAUGAAGGUCUUCGGAUCGUAAAACUCUGUUAUUAGGGAAGAACAUAUGUGUAAGUAACUGUGCACAUCUUGACGGUACCUAAUCAGAAAGCCACGGCUAACUACGUGCCAGCAGCCGCGGUAAUACGUAGGUGGCAAGCGUUAUCCGGAAUUAUUGGGCGUAAAGCGCGCGUAGGCGGUUUUUUAAGUCUGAUGUGAAAGCCCACGGCUCAACCGUGGAGGGUCAUUGGAAACUGGAAAACUUGAGUGCAGAAGAGGAAAGUGGAAUUCCAUGUGUAGCGGUGAAAUGCGCAGAGAUAUGGAGGAACACCAGUGGCGAAGGCGACUUUCUGGUCUGUAACUGACGCUGAUGUGCGAAAGCGUGGGGAUCAAACAGGAUUAGAUACCCUGGUAGUCCACGCCGUAAACGAUGAGUGCUAAGUGUUAGGGGGUUUCCGCCCCUUAGUGCUGCAGCUAACGCAUUAAGCACUCCGCCUGGGGAGUACGACCGCAAGGUUGAAACUCAAAGGAAUUGACGGGGACCCGCACAAGCGGUGGAGCAUGUGGUUUAAUUCGAAGCAACGCGAAGAACCUUACCAAAUCUUGACAUCCUUUGACAACUCUAGAGAUAGAGCCUUCCCCUUCGGGGGACAAAGUGACAGGUGGUGCAUGGUUGUCGUCAGCUCGUGUCGUGAGAUGUUGGGUUAAGUCCCGCAACGAGCGCAACCCUUAAGCUUAGUUGCCAUCAUUAAGUUGGGCACUCUAAGUUGACUGCCGGUGACAAACCGGAGGAAGGUGGGGAUGACGUCAAAUCAUCAUGCCCCUUAUGAUUUGGGCUACACACGUGCUACAAUGGACAAUACAAAGGGCAGCGAAACCGCGAGGUCAAGCAAAUCCCAUAAAGUUGUUCUCAGUUCGGAUUGUAGUCUGCAACUCGACUACAUGAAGCUGGAAUCGCUAGUAAUCGUAGAUCAGCAUGCUACGGUGAAUACGUUCCCGGGUCUUGUACACACCGCCCGUCACACCACGAGAGUUUGUAACACCCGAAGCCGGUGGAGUAACCUUUUAGGAGCUAGCCGUCGAAGGUGGGACAAAUGAUUGGGGUGAAGUCGUAACAAGGUAGCCGUAUCGGAAGGUGCGGCUGGAUCACCU
rnacentral:rRNA from 1 species